UACGUAGGGCGCAAGCGUUGUCCGGAAUUAUUGGGCGUAAAGAGCUCGUAGGCGGCCAGUUGCGUCUGCUGUGAAAUCCCGGGGCUCAACCCCGGGCGUGCAGUGGAUACGGGCUGGCUAGAGGCAGGCAGGGGAGAACGGAAUUCCCGGUGUAGCGGUGAAAUGCGCAGAUAUCGGGAGGAACACCGGUGGCGAAGGCGGGUCUCUGGGCAGUAACUGACGCUGAGGAGCGAAAGCGUGGGGAGCGAACAGG
rnacentral:rRNA from 1 species